rfam:Theobroma cacao cultivar Matina 1-6 chromosome 2, whole genome shotgun sequence.
UGGCUAAUGAUGAUAAUUAAAUAAUCUUAGCGGAUUUCAGUGAGAUUUUAUUGUCAAUGAUCUGAUUGUUACACACACUGAGGCCU